CCAAUGAUUGGAACAACUCUAAUGAUAAUUUCUUAACUCACCCCUCUCUCAUAUUCUAUCAGCUCCCUUUAUUCCCUGAUAAGACCUUCCAUUAACCAUACAAAAUUCACCCAGGCUUGUCUCUGUGCUUCUUCAUGUCCCCUCACUGACCUCUGGGCCCCAAGUUUGACGGUGAGUAUGCCCAUAAGGCCAACCCAAAAGUCCACCUAAAUGUUCCACCGGUGAAUUCGCUCACAGGGAGUGGAGUGUGUAGGGGAUGUGUUAUGUGUUAUUGUGUGUGCUUAUGGAAUGUAGAGUAUAGUCAUACCAGUUUGUGUAGGCGAUGCAGUGUGUGAGUGUGUAGUGGAUGCAGUGUGUUUUUGUGUAAAGGAUAGAAAGCAGUGUGUGUUUGUGUGUAAGGGAUGUAUAAUGUGAAUCUGUGUUUGUAUGUGUAACGGAUGCAAGGUGUGUUUAAGUGUAUGUAAGGGAUGCAGUGUCUCUGAGGGGUGAAUUGAGUGUGUGCAAGAGAAGCAGUGUGUGUGUGUGUGUGUGUGUGUGUGUGUAAGGGAUGCAGUGUGUGUGUAAGGGAUGCAUUGUGUGUUUUUCUGUGUGUAAGGGAAGUAUGGUGUGCUCCUGUGUGUGUGUGUAUGUGUGUGUGUAGGGAUGCAUUGUGUGUUUCUGUGUAUGUAUAGAGAUGCAGUGUGUGUGUAUUGUGAAAGAGAGUUUGUGGGGUAGGAUAGGGGCUGAGAGGGGAGCAGAAAAAAUAUAAUUUUUUGUUGUUACUUUGCAUCUUAUCUCUUGCAAGCCUAUUGUUUGUCUCUUAUCCCCCCUCUUUGUAUGUCUCCUACAUCCUCCCAACUUCUUUGUGUGUCUUACUCCCCUCAGCCCCUUUGUGUGUCUCCCUCCCGAGCCCCUCUGUGUGUCUCUUUCUCCUCUACCAGCACUUUUGUGCUUCUCUUUCCCUCCUUUCCCCCGCGCUGGUCUCUCCUCCCCGUCUCUAGUGGUAUCUCCUGUCCCCUCCUUUCCCCUCCCCUAGUGGUCUCUCUCCUUCCCCCUCAUGGUGUCUCCUCUCUCCUACGCACCCCAGGGCUUCUCUUCUCCCCCGCCCCUC